ACUGUAUUAAACAUUUAUGGGUAAGAGAUGGGCAUGCGUUCUAUUAGUUAGUUGGAGUGGUAACGGCACCCCAAGACAGCGAUAGAUAGGGGCCCUGAGAGGGGGAUCCCCCACACUGGUACUGAGACACGGACCAGACUCCUACGGGAGGCAGCAGUGAGGAAUAUUGGACAAUGGGCGAGAGCCUGAUCCAGCCAUGCCGCGUGCAGGAAGACGGCCCUAUGGGUUGUAAACUGCUUUUGUACGGGAAGAAACACCCCCUCGUGAGGGGGCGUUGACGGUACCGUAAGAAUAAGGAUCGGCUAACUCCGUG
rnacentral:rRNA from 1 species